AAAGUCAGAGGUUCGAAGGCGAUCAGAUACCGCCCUAGUUCUGACCAUAAACGAUGCCAGCCAGCGAUCCGGCUGUGUUCCUAAAAUGACACGCCGGGCAGCUUCCGGGAAACCAAAGCCUUUGGGUUCCGGGGGAAGUAUGGUUGCAAAGCUGAAACUUAAAGGAAUUGACGGAAGGGCACCACCAGAAAUGGAGCUUGCGGUUUAAUUUGACUCAACACGGGAAAACUUACCCGGCCCGGACACAGGAAGGAUUGACAGAUUAAGAGCUCUUUCUUGAUUCUGUGGGUGGUGGUGCAUGGCCGUUCUUAGUUGGUGGAGUGAUUUGUCUGGUUAAUUCCGAUAACGAACGAGACUCUAGCCUACUAAAUAGACGUUCCGAUCAUCUGAGUCKGACGUUCUUCUUAGAGGGACAAGCGGCGUUUAGCCGCACGAGACAGAGCAAUAACAGGUCUGUGAUGCCCUUAGAUGUCCGGGGCCACACGCGCGCUACAUUGAAGGAAUCAGCGUGUGUUUUCCCUGUCCGACAGGACUGGGUAACCCGUUGAACCUCUUUCGUGCUUGGGAUAGGGGCUUGCAAUUGUUCCCCUUGAACGAGGAAUUCCCAGUAAGCACGAGUCAUAAGCUCGUGUUGAUUACGUCCCUGCCCUUUGUACACACCGCCCGUCGCUACUACCGAUUGAAUGAUUUAGUGAGGUCUUCGGACUGGCGCUCGGAGCGGCCUUCGGGUCGCGCCGGCGUGCCGGAAAGAUGACCAAACUUGAUCAUU
rnacentral:rRNA from 1 species